UGGAGAAAGGAAGCCAUCAGUCUUAGGGAGGCUCCACCUUCUUGCCAUUGCCUGGUUGGAGGAGCGCAGCGUCAGUCACUAAGAGCGGUCACCACCUCUGGGACAGGAACUCUCUGCUCGCCCCUGGGUCCUACCAGCGCAACUAAUUCCAGUUAUAAUCAGAUCUGUGUGGGGCAAAACAAGGCUAGCUGUGGUGGUCUUCCCUCCUCUAAGGAUGCCUCUUCCUCCCUGUAUCCAUCUCUCUAUCUCUGUCUUUAUCUUGUCAAUAAAGAGGGGGUUAAAAAAU